UGUUGGGAAUGAUGAGAAAAUUUAAUAUUAUCACAGUUAUCCCUGUCUGAUUUCCAGUGCUGAUAAUGUGUUCUCUGACACAACA
rfam:Gossypium hirsutum cultivar TM-1 chromosome 11, whole genome shotgun sequence